rnacentral:lncRNA from 1 species
UACGAAAAUACUAAGCCAUGGCAUGCAGUGCUACGGUCUUUUCCCACCAUUUUAGCUCUAUGGUAGGCAAGGCUUCAUUACUAAAACAAAGAAUGAAGUAUAUAACAUAGUGAGUGAGAUCAAUAAUUGAGGGCCAUCGAGUUACUUCAUCAAAAACAUAAUACCAGGAUCCAUCCACCUUGAUCAUGAAGGAAGUGAAAACUGAAUAGGGCAACGACUGAAGACAUUUCAAGAUGCUCCCAACAAUCAAUCGUCCCCUGGUUCAUCAAGCGCACAUCAUUACUGUGUCAAACAAUUGAGUUUCUAUCCAAAACCAGUGCCCCUAUCGUGGUAAACAACAAUACACUCUAACCCUAGAUAGUAGAUUGAUACAACUCAGAUGCUUCAGCUAACUGACCCCUGACAAGGAUCGUCCGCAAAAGAACCCGUCCUACAGAUCACGGAAACGCAGCACAUCGUCGCCAGGGUAAAUCUUGAUCGAAAACUUCGGUUUCUUUGAUUUUUCUUUAUGUGACUAUGUGCUUCGUUUUCGAUGAGGCGGAAUUCCGGCUUCAUGGGCGUCUUCCCAUUGCCGCCCCACGUCAGAUUUCCAUCAUUAAUCACCGGCACCAGAAACCUGGAAGAGGGUAAAACGAGAAGAUCAUCGAACUCACAAGCUCUUAGAGAGAGAGAGAGGGUUUGAUACUCUGCCUGUGCCGUGGCAGGAGGCCGAUGAGGUGGAGACGGCGGUGGAGGAGAGGUGGGAGAGGAGAGGGAGGAGGACGAGUGACAGUUAUUGUUAUCACCGCCCUCUUGCUUAACCCUUCAAUCCAAGAAACCACCGGCAAAGGGAUUGGAGAUAU